GUAUUACCAGGAGUUCCCUUCAAACACUUCACGAAGCACCUUUCUGAGAGCUUAUAUAUGUGAAGUGUUUGGGGGAACUCUAGGUGCAAU
rnacentral:pre_miRNA from 1 species